GAAGUACACCCUCCGUCCUGAAAUACUUGUCAGAGAAAUGGAUGUAUUUUAGUUCUAGAUACAUCCAAUUUUAUCUAUUUCUGCGACAAGUAAUUCCGGACGGAGGGAGUAUGAA
rfam:Triticum aestivum genome assembly, contig: Triticum_aestivum_CS42_TGACv1_scaffold_320302_4BL